CACUGUCGCGAGGGACGAGAAGCCCAUUACAAACAGUGAUGGGAUAGGACGGUACCUCGAGAGGAAGCACCGGCUAACUCUGUGC
rnacentral:rRNA from 1 species